UUAUUCUUCGUCAGUGUGGCCCUAUUAGGCAAUAGGGCAUGUUAUACUGCUGCGAUCGAUGGACUAUUAAGCCUGUUAUUAUAUUGUUGUACCGUUUUGUGGAUGUGAUGGAUAAGCAGAUAAGGCACUAGCAAGCAGGUGCACAUGCGUACUUGCAUAUUUUGCGAUUCCCUCUGCAUACAUAUGUAUGUUUGGGUUUGACCAGAUAGGGCAACAUGGUUACAUCAAAGUGGUUGCUAAAUUCUUGUCGGUUCUGAAAUCAAAAUUUCUUAGAGCUCUGUCAAUUUUGAAGACUUUCACGAACCCCAAAAGCUAAUGGACAAGAAAACGUUCAAUAACGUUGGUCCCUGAAUGACCUUGGUUAUUUAAUGCCAUGAACAUGAUAUAUCUCAAACAAAAUCGUAUUCAAAUUUGGACCAAAUGGCAAUGGUUACAUGAACGUAGUUGCCAAUCUGGGUCGAUUCGCAAAUCAACAUUUUGUAGAAUUCUGUCGAUUUUAAGGACUCAGGAAUCCUUAAAGCUUAAUAUGCCAACGUUCAUGAACAACGAUUAUAUAUGAUUAUGUCGUUUUCCGAUCGGCGGAAUUAAGUCUCUUUAAAAUAACAUAAACAAUAUUUCGUCGGCGGACCUGAGCGAUAUUAUGACAUAAUUCAUUUUAUAUUUUUCAGCCAACUCUGCCACGCCCGUGGACAAUAUUUAAUCAGCAAAUGAUCGCUAUUCAUGGUACCUAGUUAUAUAUAUAUUCCAUAUCAUGGACAUAGUCCUAGCCAACCUAAAGGACAAAGUUCUUGCAAAAUGCGUAGAAACUGGGUCCAAAAUGUGCAUGCUUUUCCUUUACAGCCGCCCCAGCAAAAUUCCGGCCCCCGGGAUGGUUUCUAGUUGACUAAUAUAUCCUAAGUUAUACCAUACCAUUAAUAAAGUCCUUGGGAACCUAAAA